rnacentral:ribozyme from 1 species
AUGCACACUUAUAUUGAAAGCAUUACCGGGAGAGAAAAAAAAGAAAGUUUUGGUGGUCGGUAUGCAGUGAACCGAUCAGACACUUGAAUUUGUUUUUUAAGUUUUGUGUGUGUUUUUUGUUUUCAUUUAUGUUUUUGCUU